rnacentral:rRNA from 1 species
GACGAACGCUGGCGGCGUGCUUAACACAUGCAAGUCACGGGGGCGUCGCAAGGGCAACCGGCGAACGGGUGCGUAACACGUGAGCAACUUACCGAUUUGUUGGGGGAGUAGCCGGCCCAACGGCCGGGUAAGUACCGCAUACGCUCUUUGGGUGGAGUCACCUGAAGAGGAAACCUCCGGGGCGAAAUCGAGGGGCGUCGCGGCCUAUCAGCUAGUUGGUGCGGGUAACGGCCCACCAAGGCGAUGACGGGUAGCUGGUCUGAGAGGAUGGCCUGCCACAUUGGGACUGAGAAACGGCCCAGACUCCUACGGAAGGCAGCAGUGGGAAUCUUGCGCAAUGGCCGAAAGGCUGACGCAGCGACGCCGCGUGUGGGAGGAAGCUCUUCGGGUGUAAACCACUGUUGCCCGGAACGAAUGUCAGGAUUUGUCCUGAUUGACGGGUACCGGGUGAGGAAGCACCGGCUAACUCUGUGCCAGCCGCCGCCGUAAU